GUGCCUAACACAUGCAAGUCGCACGAGAAAGUUCCCGCAAGGGGGCGAGUAAAGUGGCAGACGGGUGAGUAACACGUGGAUAACAUACCUUCCUGCGGGGGACAACAGUCCGAAAGGAUUGCUAAUACCGCAUGACAUCGUAACGGGGCAUCCCGAAGCGAUCAAAGCCGCAAGGCGCGGGAAGAUUGGUUCGCGUCCCAUUAGCUUGAUGGUGAGGUAACGGCUCACCAUAUUGGCUCCGAUGGGUAGCUGGUCUGAGAGGAUGAUCAGCCACACUGGAACUGAGAUACGGUCCAG
rnacentral:rRNA from 1 species